UGGGAAGCUCUUAGAGGAUGCAGGAAGUCAAAUGGCAAAAAAAAAAAAAAAAAGAAUGAAGAUCAUUAGAGGUGCUGAUCACACCAACACAUCAAGAUUACAGUGGCAGGUAUUGUGAUCCAGAAAUCAGGACACCUGAGAUUCAUCUUUGAAUCUCCCCAAACACCAACAGAAGACUGUGGGCCUCAGUUACUUUGCAUGCAAUAAGAAGGUGUUGAACCAGGUCAACUCAUGAACCACA